CUAUGCGCCUUGCCAGCCCGCUCAGUCAGAGUUUGAUCCUGGCUCAGAGCGAACGCUGGCGGCAGGCUUAACACAUGCAAGUCGAACGGUCCUUCGGGAUAGUGGCGGACGGGUGAGUAACACGUGGGAACGUACCCUUAGGUUCGGAACAACACAGGGAAACUUGUGCUAAUACCGGAUAAGCCCUUCGGGGGAAAGAUUUAUCGCCUUUGGAGCGGCCCGCGUCUGAUUAGCUUGUUGGUGAGGUAAUGGCUCACCAAGCUACGAUCAGUAGCUGGUCUGAGAGGAUGGCCAGCCACACUGGGACUGAGACACGGCCCAG
rnacentral:rRNA from 1 species